CCUACGGGAGGCAGCAGUGAGGAAUAUUGGUCAAUGGACGAGAGUCUGAACCAGCCAAGUAGCGUGAAGGAUGAUUGCCCUAUGGGUUGUAAACUUCUUUUAUAUGGGAAUAAAAUGUUCCACGUGUGGGAUUUUGUAUGUACCAUAUGAAUAAGGAUCGGCUAACUCCGUGCCAGCAGCCGCGGUAAUACGGAGGAGCCGAGCGUUAUCCGGAUUUAUUGGGUUUAAGGGGAGCGUAGGUGGAUUGUUAAGUCAGUUGUGAAAGUUUGCGGCUCAACCGUAAAAUUGCAGUUGAAACUGGCAGUCUUGAGUACAGUAGAGGUGGGCGGAAUGCGUGGUGUAGCGGUGAAAUGCUUAGAUAUCACGAAGAACUCCGAUUGCGAAGGCAGUUCACUGGACUGCAACUGACACUGAGGCUCGAAAGUGUGGGUAUCAAACAGGAUUAGAUACCCGAGUAGUC
rnacentral:rRNA from 1 species